rnacentral:rRNA from 1 species
GAUGAACGCUAGCGGCAGGCUUAACACAUGCAAGUCGAGGGGUAGAGGAAGCUUGCUUCCUUGAGACCGGCGCACGGGUGCGUAACGCGUAUGCAACCUACCUUUUACAGAGGGAUAGCCCAGAGAAAUUUGGAUUAAUACCUCAUAGUAUAUAGUCUUCGCAUGUUGACUAUAUUAAAGUUCCAACGGUAAACGAUGGGCAUGCGUCCUAUUAGCUAGAUGGUAAGGUAACGGCUUACCAUGGCAACGAUAGGUAGGGGUCCUGAGAGGGAGAUCCCCCACACUGGUACUGAGACACGGACCAGACUCCUACGGGAGGCAGCAGUGAGGAAUAUUGGACAAUGGGCGCAAGCCUGACCCAGCCAUGCCGCGUGCAGGAAGAAGCAUCUAUGGUGUGUAAACUGCUUUUGUACAGGAAGAAACACCCCGACGUGUCGGGACUUGACGGUACUGUAAGAAUAAGGAUUGGCUAACUCCGUGCCAGCCGCCGCCGUAAGAC